GACGAACGCUGGCGGCGUGCCUAAUACAUGCAAGUUGAGCGCUGAAGGUUGGUACUUGUACCGACUGGAUGAGCAGCGAACGGGUGAGUAACGCGUGGGGAAUCUGCCUUUGAGCGGGGGACAACAUUUGGAAACGAAUGCUAAUACCGCAUAAAAACUUUAAACACAAGUUUUAAGUUUCAAAGAUGCAAUUGCAUCACUCAAAGAUGAUCCCGCGUUGUAUUAGCUAGUUGGUGAGGUAAAGGCUCACCAAGGCGAUGAUACAUAGCCGACCUGAGAGGGUGAUCGGCCACAUUGGGACUGAGACACGGCCCAAACUCCUACGGGAGGCAGCAGUAGGGAAUCUUCGGCAAUGGACGAAAGUCUGACCGAGCAACGCCGCGGGAGUGAAGAAGGUUUUCGGAUCGUAAAACUCUGUUGGUAGAGAAGAACGUUGGUGAGAGUGGAAAGCUCAUCAAGUGACGGUAACUACCCAGAAAGGGACGGCUAACUACGUG
rnacentral:rRNA from 1 species